CUGUGUAAAUUAUGUCUUUUCUAUGAAUUAUAUUUUAUUUGCAAUCUUAGAUUUUAUGUGUUUAUAUGUGACAUUGACAUUCCACAAGUUCACCUGAUAAAUGAUCAUCAGAUCAUCUUUUGUACUUUGAUAAUGUAUUGAACGCUUAUAGAUUGCAAUCAGAUUAGAUUACUCUUAAACUCUUUAUCUUAAGUUUUUUUUUUAUCUUUCGUGAAAAUGUACGUUAACACCAGUGCAACUUUCAUUAAAAGACAAGACAGAACACUACGAUCCUACUAGAAAAAUAUAUAUUGUGAUAUUUAGCUUUGUGUUACAUUUUUUGUGUAUCAGUGUUGAAUCAAUUAAAUCUGUAGGUCAAUUUUCAUAAAAGAAGAAAGAUAUUAGAUCCACAGUUGCUUAUAAAUUAUAUAACAUUAUUGAACGUAGUAGCACUGGAAUCUUCCCUGUGUUAGAGAUAUUGAAAUUGUACAUAUUAGGCACUUGACUGUAAACUUUUAGCGGAAAUAAUAUUAUAUAAUAUUAAUGCUCUCUGCAUGCUCUCUUCCCAUAAUACUCUUUGGAUGAUUAAUAUUAUUUUAAAAAUUGCUACAAAAUUUUGUUCCGGUAUAAUUUAAUUUUACAUUAAUUUGUAAAAUGUCUACAAAAGUACCACCGGAUGGAGGAUGGGGAUGGGUCAUCGUUCUGGCUAAUGGAUUAAAUGGCAUGUCAAUCGUUCCUGUUCUACAAGUAUUUGGAUUAAUAUUCAAAGAUUGUUUAGCCGAUCUUAAUUUGAAUGCGACAGAUGUAUCAAUUAUAAUCAAUGUAAAUUUGGCAUCUGGUAUGCUGAUGGGCAUGAUUAAUGGAGCUCUUUUGAAGACUUAUGGAUAUAAGAAGGUAGCAAUAGCUGGAAGCAUAUUACAUACAGUUGGAAUAAUGUUGACAGCAUUCGCCAAUAGCUUUUCUUUCUUUAUUAUUUGGUACGGAAUAUUAACAUCCAUUGGUUUCGGUAUGUUGAUGUCCGGAUUUUCUCUAGCACUUAAUAUUUACUUCACUAAAAGGCGAGAUCGAGCAGUGGGCUUGGCGAUAACCAUCACUGCACUAGGCCCGAUUCUUAUGCCUCAAAUAGCAUCCUUCUUACUUAUAAUUUAUGGUACACAGGAAACCAUGUUGAUACUUGGCGCUUAUAGUUUUCAUUCAAUGAUAGCCGCACUGUUGCUACAACCGGUUAAAUGGCACAUGAAAACCGUACCCGUCUGCUUAGAGACAAUUCCUGAAAAUUCUAAAAUAUUGAGCGAUAAAGAAGAUAUAACCAAUAAUGCAGAAAAUGAAGCUAAUAUGCACUCUUCGAGGCUGACUUUGAACAAUUAUCAGAGAAAAAGGAAACUAUCGACUAUAUCGAGCAUUGAUCACGAUGUCGAAGUUGGAAGCAUUUAUGGGUUCGAUACUUUAUCUCGACAAAUUUCUAUAGACAGAACAAUGUAUGAUGUAAAUUCUGAUAUCGAAAUGAAUCAAGAAACGUCUGUGACAAAUUUAAAUGGUAUCUGCAAAUGUUCAAAACAUUCAAUGUGGAAUUUAGUGAAAAGUAUGGAAAGUGUAAAUCUCGGUAGUAGCAUAAAAAUUUUCGAUGAACCAGUACCGAAAAAAUUGAUUUUCAUCGAUAAUAAAGUAAGUAAAAGUAAUAGUGUCAACCAGAACAUUGUGGAAAGAAAUUCGUUGUUAGAAAAAGAGACUGAUAACUGUUCAAAUGAAAAAAAUUGCGAUAAAGACAAUCAGAAAGAUGAAUCCGUUUUCCGUCGAAUUUGGCAACGAGUGGCUGAUCUUUACGACCUUGAUCUUCUGUGUGAUCCUAUUUACAUAAAUAUUAUGUUGGGGAUGUCGAUAGCCGUUUUCGCGGAGGUGAACUUUUCCAUACUGACGCCGUUUAUUCUCGCUGAUAAAGAAAUGACAACUGCACAAAUUGCCAACGUUAUGAGCGUCAUCGCACUAAUCGAUCUCUUUGGCAGAGGCGCGGCACCGUAUCUGGGAGAGUGGUUACAUCAGUCAGCUAGGAUGAUGUAUAUGCUUAGCCUGUUUCUUCUGGCAAUUAGCAGAACCUCUUCUCCUCGGUAACAAUUGUUGCAAUCGGUUUGGGAUUGGCCAAAGGAAUUCGCACGGUGUAUAUGACCUUAGUGGUACCUAGCUAUGUUCCUCUCCAUAAAUUAGCCAGCGCUUCAGGGAUCCAGAUGUUAAUUAACGGAAUAAUUAUGCUAUGCGCGGGUCCUAUACUAGGUUUGAUACGAGAUAGUACAGGAAGUUACACAAUUUGUAUUAUAUUGAUUAAUACACUAACUCUUCUUACGAUAUUUAUCUGGACAGUAGAGAUACUCGUACAAAGGAGGUCUGCACGGAAGAAAUCAAAAUUGCCCGAAUCUUAAAAUAUAAUGUACAAAAUAAUUCUAUUUUUAUAAAUAA
rnacentral:misc_RNA from 1 species